AGCAUAUAUUCCCCAAGAAUUAAAUUUCAUUUCUAUGGAAUGCUUAGUUUUAGAUGUGCUUUUUCAAAUUUGGAGACAGUAUCCACUAGGGGUUAGAGCAAAGGUCUGGGAGUCUGGACACCUGGGUUGUUUUGAUGACUGACUGUUGUUGGCUUGCUGUGUAGCCUUAGGCAAAUUGCCUAACUUCUGUGCCGGAGGCCUGAUCUCCACACAGUUUUGUGUAACUAUGUCAGGGAUGUGAUAUUUAUUUAUUUAAUUUAUAACCAAUAUAGUUAUACCGAUACAGCCCCUAGUUAUCCUACUAUAACUUAUAUCACUUCCUCUAUGGGAAUAAGCUAUAAAGGUAUAAGCACUUUUUCAUCCCCGUAAUACUGCCUCCAUGCAAGAGUGAUUGUACAGCUUUAAUGAUACCAGUAUAAUUAAAGUGGUGCAACUUUUCUGUAUAGACAAGGCUUGAGUUUCCCUCUCUGUAAAAUGUGAAUAUCCUUUAUAAAGCACUUUGCACCAGAGGAAAUGCACUUCAAAAGUGCAAAGUAAUUAUUUGUAGCAGUAGUAAUGUUGUAUGGUUUCAAGCCUUUUGUAUUUGAUGAGAGGCUAGUAUGAAAAGAACUUGGAAAUCAGCUCUCAGAAAGGAAAAGGACAAGCUAACCUUGGCACCUGGGGCCCUGGCUAUUGUGCUUCAUAAAGGAAGUGAAACAUGUUGAGCUCCCUGACGUGAUAUUCUCACAGAAGAUGGAGGAAGUUGCUACAGUUGAAGCUGUAAUUCUGGAUCUCUUCUUGCUUCGUUUAAGGGGGUGGGGUAGGGAAGGAGGGUUACACAAAGCGCAAAAAAAAAAAAAGAAGCCACACACAAAGUUAGAUAAGUUGCUGACAAAACUGCUAAUGGACGUUGUUUGGGAGGGAGGGGCUGUAGAACAGAGAAUGUUUCCUCUGCUGGCUGUUUACGAAGAGAAAGGUAAUGAGGGAGGCAGCAGGGGAGUGAUGGAGGAGAGAAUAGAAUGGCUGCUUCUCUCUCUCUCUAGUUGCUGACUAAACAGUUCUGUCAGCUGGCAGUCGACACAGCCUGAGGAUUUGAGAUAGCUCCUGGAGGGUGGGGAUGGUUACAGGGGGGAAGGGCUGGUAGUGCUUCAGCAGCAACUGCUGCUUCUGCAGCUCAGUUGCAGUUCAGAGAAGUUUUUUAAACCAUGAAGAAUACUCACGGCACUGAAUUUCCUGGAGUUUGUGUGUGUGUGUCGUUUUCACUUGCUAAGUAUUUAAGCAAUAUCUUUUAAAAGAAGAAACUCGAGGGUUUGUCUACACUGGAGAUUUUUCUAGUUAUGCUGGUUUAAUUAAACAGAGAGAACUUCCCGUCUGGCCACUCUGAUUCCAGAAUAAGAGGAGCUUUUUGGGGGGUUAAUUUAAACCACUUCCAGAGUGACACAAGCUAAACUGCAAAAAGCCAGUCUUGGGCUGUCUACACGACAGAUCUCACAGCGGCACAGCUGUAUCUCUGCAGCUGCGCUGCUGUAAGAUCUCCUGUGUAACUGCUGUAUGGCAACGGGAGAGAGCUCUUCUCUCAGCAUAAUCAAACCACCCUCAACGAACGGCAGUAGCCAUAUUGGGAGGACAGCGUCUCCUACUGAGAUAGUGCUGUCCACACCGGGGCUUUUGUUGGUGAAACUUCUAUCGAUCAGGGGUGUGAAAAAACACCUACACCUUGACUGGCAAGUUUUACCAACAGAAGUGCUAGUGUCGACGUACUCUUAUUUCAGAAUAAGGCUAUCCUGUUAAAUCAGCGAAACAGUUUUAGCUACCCCUUAAAGUUAAAGUAGCCUUCUUGGAUUUGUAGGAAGAAAUAGUUCUCUAUCAAGGCUAUGAUGUAUGCAGUGUUGUUGUAGCUGUGUAAGUCCCAGGACAUUAGUGAGACAAGGUGGGUGAGGGAAUAUCUUUUAUUGGACCAGCUUCUGUUAGUGAAAGAGACAAGCUUGUACAGAGCUCUCCUUCAGUUCUGGGCUGUGUGAAGAGUUCUCUGUAAGCUAGAAAGUUUCUCUCUUCAAUAGAAGUUGCUCCAAUAAAAGAUAUUCCCUCACCCCACCUUGUCUUUCUAAGGCUAUGAUGUGGCAGCACUAGAGUCAUUUUAAUGAUCCCUUCAUUCUGCUAGAACUAACGCUAUUUUUCAUACAGAUGACUGUCGGAAGCAUAUCAUAAGGAUGGAAUAAGAUCCUCGAGUUGUUUCCUCUUUCAGUCAUGUGCUUGCUUUCUUUGUUUUGUAGCUGUAAGUAAAGGAUGGGUGAAUGUGAAUCACUUUAUACCAGUUAACUCCUCUUCCUUAUGACUCUGCAAUGAGCAAGAUAGUGAGUCUCUGUCUUGACAGGUGAAAAAGGGAGUGUUUCAGUUGAGCUCAAUUGUGUUAGCUAAACUCAAUAGAAAAAGCACUCAAUGCUUGUUAAGAUUCAGGCUGAUACAUUGGAAGCCAUUUUAACUGGCCAUGCACAGCUUCAACUGUGUUAGCCUCUACAUCCUAAGAAGUGUUAAGAGAGCUUUUUUGGUCCUGCUAAGCCAACUGGAUGAUUGAAAAGCACACACUCAUUUUGCCAAUCAAGACAGAGGUAGAGAGACACAGGAGCUAAUGUUCCAGUGCUGGCUAGUAAUAAAGCACUGAUGUUAUGGUUGGUAUAAUUUGCUGUUGUGGAUUUUAAAUCUUUUUAAUUCUUAUCUGCCAAAGGAAAUUCCUCAUGCAUCAAGAAAUAAGAAUGUGUUCCCAAAGAGCUGUCAAGUUUGUAGAAACUUUUCUGUUGUGAUGUGGAAACCUGUAUAACGCCACAUAGUUUUAAUUCAUUUCACCUUCACACCAUGCCCAUCCAUCACUUCAGCACAGUUCUCAAAAUUGGCGAAUUUUGUUUGCCUUACUUCAUAACUUAGAGGUGUGUUAGUUGGUACACACAAGUUAAACAGUGGUAUUUUCAUAGUACUUUGCAUUCCUGUGUUGAAAGACCUGAAAGACAUGCUUGCUGGCAGUUGGAUUUUAGUUCCCUGUUGAUCUAGACUAAUUAGGUGUUUGCUGCUUGAUGUGGAGAUGCUAUAAAAUACAUUAGUGAUUGUUGCACUUAAGUGCAUAAUUACUGACUUAAUUAUUCCACAGUGCCCUGUUCUCUUUAAACACUAAAAUAAUUUACCUUGCAUUUAAAUAAAAUAAAAUAAAAUCAGCACUUUUGCUACUUUUUUUUUUUAAGAGGAUUUUAGGAUUCACAUUUGUAUUGAAUCUUCUAAGUUCAACAUAUUUGUUUUUACCUAUCACAAAAGGAGAGAGAAAUCCCCUGGGAAAGAAAAUUAAUCUGUUGUAAAACUGCUCAUAGUUUUAGCCAUUAUUGUUCUGCAAGAUCAAAUUCUUGCUAGUGUACAUUUAUUUACAUGUCUACAAAAUAGCCAUGAUAGUCAAAUGGGUCAUGAUGCUUCAAAAACUGAAUUCAAUUGUACCCCAUUUCUCCUACUACUGUACCCUUGCUCUAGGGCCUGAUUUUCAGAAAUACUGAGCAGCUAGACAUUGCUGCGAGCCCUUUUGAAAAUCAGGCUUGUUGUAUGUUGGAUAGAAAGUUAUGUAGGCCUAGGUAAACAAUUUUUAAAAAUAUUUUGAUAUGUUCAUAAAACUUCAGUGAGUGUUUCUUCAAAGCUGAACACUUGCAUUUUGUUGAAUAAAAUUGUUUAAAUAGUUUACUUGGUGCACAAGAUGUAAAAGGCAAUUAGAAAAUAAUUUAGAUUAUCUAUGAAAAGAGAGUUUGUCACUGAACUGGGAGACUGGUUUGACCUUCUUAGCCUUAUGAGCUUGUCUGUGGUUUCCAGCCAAAGGCUCUCACUUUGAGAGAGCCUCACUUUUAGUGCUGAACUAUUUUUUGACGCACUGAAUGAAUGCAAUAUGUUAACACUCCUGUAAGUCCCAGAAUUGCUUGGCUGCCCCUUGCCCUGCCUGCCUCAUACUGGCUGAAAAGGUACCAUUGUUUGCUCUGCAAACAGUGGGUGAUGUUUGUUUCCAAGGUGACUGUGAUUCUAUUGCAGCCGUUUAGUACAAAAAAAAAAGUUGGUUUUACGCACCUGAGAGCAUCCUGCUCUGACAAAAGGACAAUGGGGGCAGAAAAGAGACAAGGUGGUGAGUUUUCUGGUAGUGCUGUAAAUGGCUGUAAAAAGAUAGAGAUGUGGGCAUUUGAAGAACUAACAUGCAAAAUGUCAGUUAGCUAGAACUAAGAGUGGUGAUGUAUAUUUCUUAGCAUGACCCCAAUAUAUUGUUAAAACCAAAACUGUAGAGUAAGCCUGUCAAAAAUACUUAAAUUAUUAUUUAUUGUAUUUUAAAAGUGCUUGAGUGAAGAUAAGCACUUUAUGAGAAGGCCCUACUUCCCUUCUUAACUAACGUGAUCAGGCAGCUGCUGAAAUGUUAAACCUUGUAGUUUGUUUGAACAGCCAAAAUAAUAUCGUUUUCUCCUAUGAAACAGACAAAAAGUAUGUAUGUAUGUAUGCAUUUAUUUAUUUAUUUAUUUUAAAAAAGAGGUUUGGAAGGUUUUGUUACAGGAGGGAUGUAUAAAAUUUCCAACUGAAAAAGUGGAAAAAGGAAUUCAGUAAUUCUGCUAAGCCUUUCUGGACAUAUAGAUGUUUUUAAAACAUCUACUUUGGGUUAAAUUAUGCAUCCCACAGAAAGUAGGCCACAGUCACCAAUACUUGAUUUCCCUUUUUCUUUUAUGUGUUCUAGAAAACAAACUUAAUUGUUACUUUUUUAUCAAACUUUGAGUAUGAGUCUCACAGUAUCAGUGACUAAUUCAAACAAUUGAAGAGAUGGAUUUAAAGUUCUUGUUCUGUUUUCAUUUAUUUUUUCCCCCGACUAUUGACACUUGUAUUUGGGCAGUGAAAAAGCUUAGUUAAGAAGUAAAAUGUAUGCACUUUUUUUUUUUUUUUUAAUUGGUCAUGGAUGCUGUUAGCAGAACUUUGCCUUUCUUUUCCCCCUAUCAGGUUUAGUACAGUUCAUACGCAGGUUUCAGUAAACAUUAACCACUUUUAUCAGGCCUCGUAGCAUGCUAAAUGGUUAGCAAAGAGCAUGUGCCGAGAGAGACAGAUGAAAUGUACAAGUCCAAGGUCAAAAGGAUGGUAGAUUUUUCUUUAUUUUAACAAGAGGCAGAGAUGACUACAGUUUGUGAAAAGGGUCGAUUUGUGU